rnacentral:ncRNA from 1 species
CCGAUUGAUUCUGUCGGCGGUUAUAUGCUUGUCUCAAAGGCUAAGCCAUGCAUGUCUAAGUUCAAAUAAACCUAUAAUGGUGAAACCGCGAACGGCUCAUUAUAACAGCUAUAAUGUACUUGAUGUUGAUUAUCCAACGUGGAUAACUGUGGCAAUUCUAGAGCUAAUACAUGCACCAAAGCUCCGACUUUUGGACGAGCGCAUCUAUUAGAUUAAAACCAAUCGGGUUAUUGGCCCGUUAAUUGGUGACUCUGAAUAGCUAUGGCUGAUCGCAUGGUCUUGUACCGGCGACGUAUCUAUCAAGUGUCUGCCUUAUCAACUUUCGAUGGUAGUUUAUGUGCCUACCAUGGUUGUAACGGGUAACGGAGAAUAAGGGUUCGACUCCGGAGAGGGAGCCUGAGAAACGGCUACCACAUCCAAGGAAGGCAGCAGGCGCGCAAAUUACCCACUCUCAGAAUGAGGAGGUAGUGACGAAAAAUAACGAGACCGUUCUCUUUGAGGCCGGUUAUCGGAAUGGGUACAAUUUAAACCCGUUAACGAGGAUCUAUGAGAGGGCAAGUCUGGUGCCAGCAGCCGCGGUAAUUCCAGCUCUCAAAGUGUAUAUC